CAGCCAGGUGUGUUAAUUGCACAUGUGAAAUUUGAAUUUCACUACACACGCUUGUUGAUUACCUCGCAGUUCUACCAGCAAGUGGUCCUCCUCGUUAAAAAUAGCGAAAAGUGACCACAAAAUAAUGAUCGUUUGUUAAACAACUUUUUUAUUUGGGUGUCCAAUAUUAUGAGACAUCAUCAGAGUUGGUC